UGGGGAAUAUUGGGCAAUGGGCGCAAGCCUGACCCAGCAAUGCCGCGUGAAGGAAGAAGGCCCUCGGGUUGUAAACUUCUUUUAUCAGGGACGAAGGAAGUGACGGUACCUGAUGAAUANGCUCCGGCUAACUACGUGCCAGCAGCCGCGGUAAUACGUAGGGAGCAAGCGUUAUCCGGAUUUCCUGGGGGUAAAGGGCGCGUAGGCGGGAUGGCAAGUCAGAUGUGAAAUCCAAGGGCUCAACCCUUGAACUGCAUUUGAAACUGUCGUUCUUGAGUACUGGAGAGGUUGACGGAAUUCCUAGUGUAGCGGUGAAAUGCGUAGAUAUUAGGAGGAACACCAGUGGCGAAGGCGGUCAACUGGACAGCAACUGACGCUGAGGCGCGAAAGCGUGGGGAGCAAACAGG
rnacentral:rRNA from 1 species